CACAUCUGCACUUUGGAAAGAAUUACAGUGGUGAUGUGAAGACACAGUUGGAAAGCAGCAAAAGUAGGAGGGAAAGAAAUUGGCAUCUCGAAGUAACUUUAGAAGAACAGAAAUCAACUUGGCUGAAUUUCUUGGUUGAAAUCUGGCCCAGCUCUGGUGUGAUCCUGUGACUGAGUUCUGGCCAAUGGAGUGGGAGCAGAAAACAAUUCAUGCUACUUUCAGCCAUAAGAACUUCCUUUAGAACCUUCAUUUCUCUUCUUCAAGCUGACCUUGGGAGCGAAGUGUUGAAGAUGGCAGAGCCUCUAUCAUUCUAGAUCUUUGAAGGACUCCAUGGAGCACACUCCUAUUUCCUUCAACCCCCUCUUCUAUCACAUUGUGAUGGGGUAUUACAGGAGUGGGAAAUAAGUCUCUCUUCUGGUGUACAGUGGAAUUGUCUACAG
rnacentral:lncRNA from 1 species